UACGUAGGGUGCAAGCGUUAAUCGGAAUUACUGGGCGUAAAGCGUGCGCAGGCGGUUUUGUAAGACAGAUGUGAAAUCCCCGGGCUCAACCUGGGACCUGCAUUUGUGACUGCAAGACUGGAGUGCGGCAGAGGGGGAUGGAAUUCCGCGUGUAGCAGUGAAAUGCGUAGAUAUGCGGAGGAACACCGAUGGCGAAGGCAAUCCCCUGGGCCUGCACUGACGCUCAUGCACGAAAGCGUGGGGAGCAAACAGG
rnacentral:rRNA from 1 species